rnacentral:tRNA from 1 species
UCCCCGUGGCGCGCAAGGUGUGCGGUCCGACUGUUAAUCGGCUGUAGCUAGGUUCGAUUCCUAGACGGGGAGCCA